GGUGGAUGAGCUGCUGCUGGGAAGAGCUCCCAGUGGCGAGGAAAGCACGUGAGGAAGAGCCAUCGCUGGUCCCCAGGGCGAGGAUGAGCCUGGGUGAGCUGUGUGGGCAGCCCAGUGCAGGGAGGCACAGCUCCUUCCCUCCCAGGGCUUGUUGGCAGGACAAAAAACGGCAACUGAGCGGGGAUGCCUGUUCCAGAUUGACACCCGGUGGAUGCUGCUGCUGUAAUCAGCACCGAGGAGCAUUUAUCACCUCCUCAGACCCUGAUGUGGGGAGCAGGUGUCUGACCUGCGACGACAAAAGCGCCGAGUGGCAGCAGGAAGAGAGGAAAUAGAUAAGAUGUCAUAUUUUCAGCACGAUUUUUCUCUCUUUAAUGUUCCUGCAGAUUAUGGGAAACAAUCAUGGGAUGGGGGACGCCGGUGUUUUAUGGUGUCACAAGGGUUUAAGGUUUUAGGAGUUUAAAAAAAAAAAAAGUGAUGUUGGAUCUUGCUGUAUUAUGGGGUAUUUAUAGGACAUAGUAAGUUGGGGUUUUUUUCAAUUUAUUUACUUGAGUCAGGAAAGAUAAAUGGGUGUCUGGAUCUGAGUACUUGUAUCCAAAGGAAAUUGAAAGAAACUCAGUUCUCUUGAACUUGGCCUCCACUUAGGGCAGAAAAAUGACACAGAAAUGACCCUUCUUAGAUUAAAGAACUGCUCACGCCUCAAAGGAGGUGGUAGAAAUUAGUCUGUAAAAAUCUCUCCUUCUCAUAUUACCCAUUUUCUGCUUUUCUUCAUCUCUGCUUUAAAAGAUACAAAAAUCCACCAACUUUGCUGUGCUCCCUUGCAGUGCCAUUUCUGAGCACACUCUUCUGUGUGACCCAGGAAUGCUGCUUUAAUGCUGACUUCACUCUUCCAUCCCUGAAUGUAUUUCAAGAUGGAAAAUGGUUUUAACUUUCCUGAUCUGCAGUUUUGGGUUUAAAAC